AACAGCUAGUAGAUGUAGAGGGGACCGCUAACGGGGACGAACUACUUCCGGCCGGAAGUUCUGGAAGGGGGAGGGAGCUGUGGUCGCUCGAAGUGGGAGGUCCUUGCUCCCCGGCCCCCAGUCAUUGGCCUAGGGCUUUCAGGUAACUGGGGCGGGGCUGUGCCGGGAGUGAGGGAUAGGCUCCGCUUCACCCCUCAGCUGCGUCGGGUUCUGGGACGCACCACCACAGUCAGCACCGCGGCCGAGGCCCGCCCCCUGCCCUCCUCCUUCAGUCCCCGCUGGUUCAGGAUGGGCUUCUCCUUAGUGUUGCACCAAGCCGCCCUCCUCACUGCGGCGUUCUGCCCUCAACCCGUCCCUCUCACCGCUCCCCACACAGGAGCUGAUGGACACAGAGGUCAUCCAGGGAAUAGAGGCUGGCAAAAAUACUGGUGAAGCUAGAAAUGAAGAUGAGGGGGAGGCAUCUUUUUACCACAGCAGCCAAAAAUCACCAUCACAGAGGCCAUCUCAACUGUACAGAAACCUAGAUAGUUCCUUUCCACUUGUGUAGGCAUUCCUGAUGCCUAUUUUGGACAGCUAAAUGGCAUAGAUGAAUAUUUAAUGAGAAGAGUAACAUAGUCUUGUCAACUCCAAAAUUAUAGAUUUCCUUCAAAGAAAAUAAUGUAGGCAUUAUUUUGCCUCUUACUUUGGAAGAUGUGACUUUUAAGAAUCUUUGAAUCUUUAAAUUUCUUUAGAUAGGAUAUUGAACUUAUAUUUUAAGCAAUAUAAUUGUAACAACAUUCUAGUCCUCUGAAAUAAUCAGGAAACUUCCUUGAAUGGAAUUUGGAAAUAAAACUUAAUGAAUA